rnacentral:rRNA from 1 species
UACGUAGGGUGCAAGCGUUAAUCGGAAUUACUGGGCGUAAAGCGUGCGCAGGCGGUUGUGCAAGACAGAUGUGAAAGCCCCGGGCUCAACCUGGGAAUGGCAUUUGUGACUGCACGGCUAGAGUGUGUCAGAGGGGGGUAGAAUUCCACGUGUAGCAGUGAAAUGCGUAGAGAUGUGGAGGAAUACCGAUGGCGAAGGCAGCCCCCUGGGCCAACACUGACGCUCAUGCACGAAAGCGUGGGGAGCAAACAGG